AUACUCCGAGAACUGAAAGGCUUUUUGAAGUCUUCGGAUGGAUAGAAGAACCCCUGAUGCCGUCGAGCCAAGAAAAGUUUCUAAGUUUAGCUAAUGUUGCCCGUACCGUAAACCGACACAGGUGGGUGGGAUGAGUAUUCUAAGGCGCGUGGAAGAACUCUCUUUAAGGAACUCUGCAAAAUAGCACCGUAUCUUCGGUAUAAGGUGUGGUUAGCUUUGUAUUAGGAUUUACUCCGAAAGCGAAGAAACUUACAACAAAGAGUCCCUCCCGACUGUUUACCAAAAACACAGCACUCUGCUAACUCGUAAGAGGAUGUAUAGGGUGUGACGCCUGCCCGGUGCUCGAAGGUUAAUUGAUGGGGUUAGCAUUAGCGAAGCUCUUGAUCGAAGCCCGAGUAAACGGCGGCCGUAACUAUAACGGUCCUAAGGUAGCGAAAUUCCUUGUCGGUUAAAUACCGACCUGCAUGAAUGGCGUAACGAGAUGGGAGCUGUCUCAAAGAGGGAUCCAGUGAAAUUGUAGUGGAGGUGAAAAUUCCUCCUACCCGCGGCAAGACGGAAAGACCCCGUGGACCUUUACUACAGCUUGACACUGCUACUUGGAUAAGAAUGUGCAGGAUAGGUGGGAGGCUUUGAGUAUAUGACGCCAGUUGUAUAUGAGCCAUUGUUGAGAUACCACUCUUUCUUAUUUGGGUAGCUAACCAGCUUGAGUUAUCCUCAAGUGGGACAAUGUCUGGUGGGUAGUUUGACUGGGGCGGUCGCCUCCCAAAUAAUAACGGAGGCUUACAAAGGUUGGCUCAGAACGGUUGGAAAUCGUUCGUAGAGUAUAAAGGUAUAAGCCAGCUUAACUGCAAGACAUACAAGUCAAGCAGAGACGAAAGUCGGUCUUAGUGAUCCGGUGGUUCUGUGUGGAAGGGCCAUCGCUCAAAGGAUAAAAGGUACCCCGGGGAUAACAGGCUGAUCUCCCCCAAGAGCUCACAUCGACGGGGAGGUUUGGCACCUCGAUGUCGGCUCAUCGCAUCCUGGGGCUGGAGCAGGUCCCAAGGGUAUGGCUGUUCGCCAUUUAAAGCGGUACGCGAGCUGGGUUCAGAACGUCGUGAGACAGUUCGGUCCCUAUCUGCCGUGGGCGUAAGAAGAUUGAAGAGAUUUGACCCUAGUACGAGAGGACCGGGUUGAACAAACCACUGGUGUAGCUGUUGUUCUGCCAAGAGCAUCGCAGCGUAGCUAAGUUUGGAAAGGAUAAACGCUGAAAGCAUCUAAGCGUGAAGCCAACUCUAAGAUGAAUCUUCUCUAAGCUCUCUAGAAGACUACUAGUUUGAUAGGCUGGGUGUGUAAUGGAUGAAAGUCCUUUAGCUGACCAGUACUAAUAGAGCGUUUGGCUUAUCUUUAAUAAAGCAU
rnacentral:rRNA from 1 species